rnacentral:rRNA from 1 species
GACGAACGCUGGCGGCGUGCUUAACACAUGCCAGUCGAACGGAAAGGCCCUGCUUUUGUGGGGUGCUCGAGUGGCGAACGGGUGAGUAACACGUGAGUAACCUGCCCUUGACUUUGGGAUAACUUCAGGAAACUGGGGCUAAUACCGGAUAGGAGCUCCUGCUGCAUGGUGGGGGUUGGAAAGUUUCGGCGGUUGGGGAUGGACUCGCGGCUUAUCAGCUUGUUGGUGGGGUAGUGGCUUACCAAGGCUUUGACGGGUAGCCGGCCUGAGAGGGUGACCGGCCACAUUGGGACUGAGAUACGGACCAGACUCCUACGGGAGGCAGCAGUGGGGAAUAUUGCACAAUGGGCGGAAGCCUGAUGCAGCAACGCCGCGUGCGGGAUGACGGCCUUCUGGUUGUAAACCGCUUCCGCCUGUGACGAAGCGUGAGUGACGGUAAUGGGUAAAGAAGCACCGGCUAACUACGUG